AAUUCUCCAUAUUCUCUCUUAGAGGUGCUGUGUCCUCGAUGUGAUAUUGGCCUUUUGGGAUUGAAAAGGAAGCAGAGAAAGUUAAAGGAGCCCUUGCCAAAUGGAAAGAAAAAAAGCACCAAAUUAGAGAGUCUGAGUGACCUGGAGAGAGCUUUAACUGAAAGCAAGGAGACUGCUUCAGCUAUGGCAACUCUCGGGGAAGCUCGCCUAAGGGAAAUGGAAGCCUUGCAGUCUCUCAGACUCGCCAAUGAAGGGAAAUUGCUGUCGUCUGUCCAAGAUGUGGAUAUAAAAAUCUGCCUAUGUCAGAAGGCCCCAGCUGCCCCUAUGAUUCAGUGUGAACUCUGCAGGGAUGCUUUCCACACCAGUUGUGUGGCGGUACCCAGUAUUUCACAGGGCCCCCGAAUCUGGCUUUGUCCCCAUUGUCGGAGGUCAGAGAAACCUCCAUUAGAGAAAAUUCUGCCCCUGCUCGCCUCCCUUCAGCGUAUCCGAGUUCGCCUUCCUGAGGGAGAUGCACUUCGAUAUAUGAUUGAAAGAACCGUGAACUGGCAGCACAGAGCCCAGCAACUGCUUUCGUCAGGGAAUCUUAAAUUUGUGCAAGAUCGAGUGGGCUCAGGACUGUUAUAUAGCAGAUGGCAAGCCUCAGCAGGACAGGUGUCAGACACAAACAAGGUAUCUCAACCUCCUGGCACAACAUCAUUUUCCUUGCCUGAUGACUGGGACAACAGAACCUCAUAUUUGCACUCUCCCUUCUCAACUGGACGAAGUUGUAUCCCCCUCCAUGGUGUUAGUCCAGAAGUGAAUGAACUAUUGAUGGAAGCCCAGCUGCUCCAGGUAUCCCUUCCUGAAAUUCAGGAACUUUACCAGACUUUACUUGCAAAGCCAAGCCCUGCUCAGCAGACUGACCGAAGCUCACCAGUGAGACCCAGCAGUGAGAAGAAUGACUGUUGCCGAGGGAAGCGAGAUGGAAUUAACAGUCUUGAGAGAAAACUGAAGAGACGCCUGGAAAGAGAGGGCCUCUCCAGUGAGCGGUGGGAACGAGUUAAGAAAAUGCGGACCCCCAAAAAGAAGAAAAUCAAACUGAGCCACCCCAAGGACAUGAACAAUUUCAAGUUAGAGAGAGAGCGUAGCUAUGAAUUAGUUCGUUCUGCUGAAACUCAUUCCCUGCCCUCAGACACAUCCUAUUCCGAACAGGAAGACUCUGAGGAUGAAGAUGCCAUCUGCCCAGCUGUGAGCUGCCUGCAGCCAGAAGGAGAUGAGGUCAGUGAGGUUUGGGCCAUAGAGGACGUGCUUUCCCUUAACUCAGAAACCCUGUAAGCUAGACCUCAUCUCGCUGGGUCUUUCUCCUCUGCUUAUCUGCUUUGAGCUGAUCUGAAUGGAUUGCUCAGCCCUUCCCCCACUGAUAUCUGUGCUCUUACCAUCGUUCCUGGGUCUCCUCCCUUUUCUUGAAGAAACUCUUGUUCUUCCCUUUUUCCUUUUCUUGCUCUUCCAGCUUUCACCUUCCCGGCGCUAAGAAGGUGGGAGGGAUGCUGAUGUGAUGCCCCUUGGCUUACUUAUCACAGGGCAGCGCUGUCUUAACCCCAAAGCAGACACGACUUGAAGAAUGACUUUGACUCGGUUGCUUUGGCUAGGGGGCCAGCUACACUCAUUU
rnacentral:sRNA from 1 species